rnacentral:misc_RNA from 1 species
AUUGCAGGACACAUUGAACAUCGAGAUCUUGAACGCAUAUUGCGGCCUCGGGCACUCCCGAGGCCACGCCCGUCUCAGGGUCGGUUGAAAAUCCAAUCGCGGGUCGCUCUCAGCCCGCGCACUGGAGCGUCGCAGCGUGGCUGCGGUGGCGCUCGGAUCUGUUGCGAGUUACGUUCGCGAGGCGUUCCGGUUGUCGGCGGCGGGCAGUUUUCGGCCCGUGCCAGCCGGUCGGUCGUCUCGCGGAGCCCGAGCUCGCGGCUACACGGUCCUUGCGCGGCUGCGGUCGUCGCUUCGUCGUCCGAAGAACAGACCUGGCUCACUCGCUCCGUCGGCGGCGGCGUCGUGUCGACGCGCAGUCGGCGCUAGGGCGGGACGGCGAGUCGGUGUACUUUGAGUCCGUCGCCUGUCCGUCUUACGCGUCGGUCCGUCGGCCUCGGCGCCGUCUGCUGACGAUAGUCUGUGGUGUACCGUAUGGAAUCAGAACUCACACUUCGACCUGAGAUCGGACGAGAUUACCCGCUGAAUUUAAGCAUAU